ensembl:lncRNA
UUUUCUGUUUCUGGCAGUGACUCACACAUCUGCCCCAUCCAUUGUUUCCAGCAUUCACAAGACUUUGUCACAUACAAUGGCCUUUGGGGUUUGGGAUCUGAGCAGAUAAACAAGGCAAGUACCACACUGAGCCGGAAGGAGCUGGUGCAGGAACGCGGAUCCAGACGUGGUGAGGGACGCUGGCAGCCUGAGAUCAGGUCACCAGCCCCCACUGAUGUGCACCGAAGAGACACCGUCAGACUUUGCGAGUUCCUCUUAGAAUCCCAAGAGUUAAUUUCCCAUCAUGAGGCUACUGUUCCUUCUCUUUCUCCUCCUUGUGUGUCUUAUCCAGACGACAUCAGGUAAGCUGUGGCUCCUGUUGGUAGGAUGAUAUGACAGAUGGCCUUGAAGAAUAGGACCAAAUUGAUUCAUAAUCCAAUGAUGCAUCGAAGUCUGUAACAACGGAGUAAUUUCACAGCUGAAAGAAGCAUACAUAUACCACACACUCCCUUUUACGAAUAACGAAAAGGGAAAUUUAAGAAAACUUAAAAGAGUUUCCCAAGAUUGCUCUUAACUGGUUGAUAGCAAGCCCAUAACUAGUAAUUGACGAUAGAUAAUAUUUACAGAGACUUUACAGCUUACAAAUUAUUUCCAUGUGAAUAACAACAACACUAAUAGCAGAUAAUAUUGACGCUUCCUCUUUACCAAACAUCACAACAAAAACUUUUCAUGUCCUGUCCCACGUGUACCUCCUAACACUAUUUCUGGGUAGGUAUUCCCUGUCUUGCAAAUGAGAUUAAGAAAUGAAGUAACUUGUUCAAAGUCAUUCAGAUUGUAUGUAGUGGAGCCUUUGACUCAAGCUCACGAGGGUUUGGUUCCAGACAAUGUUUUCAUUAAAUAUUCAACAAUCCCAAGAAAUACAUUUACUUACUGCAUUAUAUAUAAACAUCAAAUACU